rnacentral:rRNA from 1 species
CUGACGGAGCAACGCCGCGUGUAUGAAGAAGGUUUUCGGAUCGUAAAGUACUGUUGUUAGAGAAGAACAAGGAUAAGAGUAACUGCUUGUCCCUUGACGGUAUCUAACCAGAAAGCCACGGCUAACUACGUGCCAGCAGCCGCGGUAAUACGUAGGUGGCAAGCGUUGUCCGGAUUUAUUGGGCGUAAAGCGCGCGCAGGCGGUCUUUUAAGUCUGAUGUGAAAGCCCCCGGCUUAACCAGGGAGGGU